rnacentral:tRNA from 1 species
GGCGCGGUAGCUCAGCUGGUUAGAGCGUGUGAUUCAUAAUCACAAGGUCGGCGGUUCAAGCCCGCCUCGCGCUACAA